rnacentral:rRNA from 1 species
UACACUCCUACGGGAGGCAGCAGUGGGGAAUUUUGGACAAUGGGCGAAAGCCUGAUCCAGCAAUGCCGCGUGAGUGAAGAAGGCCUUCGGGUUGUAAAGCUCUUUUGUCAGGGAAGAAACGGUGAAAGCUAAUAUCUUUUGCUAAUGACGGUACCUGAAGAAUAAGCACCGGCUAACUACGUGCCAGCAGCCGCGGUAAUACGUAGGGUGCAAGCGUUAAUCGGAAUUACUGGGCGUAAAGCGUGCGCAGGCGGUUUUGUAAGUCUGAUGUGAAAUCCCCGGGCUCAACCUGGGAAUUGCAUUGGAGACUGCAAGGCUAGAAUCUGGCAGAGGGGGUAGAAUUCCACGUGUAGCAGUGAAAUGCGUAGAUAUGUGGAGGAACACCGAUGGCGAAGGCAGCCCCCUGGGUCAAGAUUGACGCUCAUGCACGAAAGCGUGGGGAGCAAACAGGAUUAGAAACCCCAGUAGUCC